ensembl:snRNA U6 U6 spliceosomal RNA
AUGCUGACUUUGGCAGCACGUAUAUUAAAAUUGGAACGAUGCAGAAAAGAUUAGCAUGGCUUUUGCUCAAAUAUGACAAACAAAUUUGUGUUCUUUAUCUUU